rnacentral:rRNA from 1 species
GGGAAUCGGGGUUCGAUUCCGGAGAGGGAGCCUGAGAAACGGCUACCACAUCCAAGGAAGGCAGCAGGCGCGCAAAUUACCCACUCCCGGCACGGGGAGGUAGUGACGAAAAAUAACGAUACGGGACUCUUCCGAGGCCCCGUGAUUGGAAUGAGUACACUUUAAAUCCUUUAACGAGGACCCAUUGGAGGGCAAGUCUGGUGCCAGCAGCCGCGGUAACUCCAGCUCCAAUAGCGUAUAUUAAAGUUGUUGCGGUUAAAAAGCUCGUAGUCGGAACUAUGUCUUCGGCCGGGUUGGUCGGGGUCUGUCCUUAACUGGGCGCCUCGGCCUGAAGCCUUGCGGUGUGUCGGGUAACACCGGCAUACUGCUUAGCGGUCGGACAUAACCGCCGGAGUGGCGUUGACGGUGGGUCGGCCUUAACCGGUCGAUUCACCGGCGCGUCGCAAUCAAAUCGGCCGGGGUGCUCUUAACCGAGUGUCUCGGUCGGCCGGCAAACGUUUACUUUGAACAAAUUAGAGUGCUCAAAGCAGGCUGAUCUUAGCCCUGAAUAUCGCAGCAUGGAAUGAUGGAAUAGGACCUCGGUCUUAUUUUGCUGGUCUUUUUCUUCAUAGACCCGAGGUAAUGGUCAAUAGAGACGGACGGGGGCAUCCGUACUGCGGCGACAGAGGUGAAAUUCUUGGACCGCCGCAAGACGAACGACAGCGAAGGCAUUUGCCAAGAAUGUUUUCCCUGAUCAAGAACGAAAGUUAGAGGUUCGAAGGUGAUCAGAUACCGCCCUAGUUCUAACCAUAAACGAUGCCGACCAGCGAUCCGCCGGUGUUACUCCCAUGACUCGGCGGGCGGCUUCCGGGAAACCAAAGUCUUUGGGUUCCGGGGGAAGUAUGGUUGCAAAGCUGAAGCUUAAAGGAAUUGACGGAAGGGCACCACCAGGAGUGGAGCCUGCGGCUUAAUUUGACACAACACGGGAAACCUCACCAGGCCCGGACACUGGAAUGAUUGACAGAUUGAGAGCUCUUUCUCGAUUCGGUGGGUGGUGGUGCAUGGCCGUUCUUAGUUGGUGGAGCGAUUUGUCUGGUUAAUUCCGAUAACGAGCGAGACUCUAUCCUGCUAAAUAGGUGGCGGGUUCCUAUGCCUCCGAGUGCGGCGGCGGGCGCAAGCCCGUCGCCGUACGAAGGGGAAACUUGGGUGCGGUGACCGACGGGACCAGGGCCGCGUGUUUGUCGGUCUCUAGUGCGUGGGUCAAACUGCGUAUUAGGGGCCGGCGGGCGCGUAGCUCCCCCGGCGAUACCACCGUACUCGCGCCCGUCACGUCUCUUCUUAGAGGGACAAGCGGCGUCCAGCCGCGUGACAGUGAGCAAUAACAGGUCUGUGAUGCCCUUAGAUGUCCUGGGCCGCACGCGCGCUACACUGAAGGAAUCAGCGUGUUUCAAUCUCCCUGUCCGAAAGGACCGGGUAACCGCUGAACCUCCUUCGUGGUUGGGAUUGGGGACUGCAAAGAUCCCCAUGAACCAGGAAUCCCUAGUAGGCGCGGGUCACUAGCCCGCGUCGAUUACGUCCCUGCCCUUUGUACACACCGCCCGUCGCUACUACCGAUUGAAUGAUUUAGUGAGGCCUUCGGACGGGCCCGUCGGGGGAGUGUGCCCGUCGUCUUCGCGGAUGGCGGGCGCGCGCCCUACCAACGGCGGGACUGAAAGAUGUCCGAACUUGAUCCUUUAGAGGAAGUAAAAGUCGUAACGAGGUU